AGUGAACGCUGGCGGUAGGCCUAACACAUGCAAGUCGAACGGCAGCACAGUAAGAGCUUGCUCUUACGGGUGGCGAGUGGCGGACGGGUGAGGAAUACAUCGGAAUCUACUUUUUCGUGGGGGAUAACGUAGGGACACUUACGCUAAUACCGCAUACGACCUACGGGAGAAAGCAGGGGAUCUUCGGACCUUUCGCGAUUGAAUGAGCCGAUGUCGGAUUAGCUAGUUGGCGUGGUAAAGGCCCACCAAGGCGACGAUGCGUAGCUGGUCUGAGAGGAUGAUCGGCCACACUGGAACUGAGACACGGUCCAGACUCCUACGGGAGGCAGCAGUGGGGAAUAUUGGGCAAUGGGCGCAAGCCUGAUGCAGCCAUGCCGCGUGAGUGAAGAAGGCCUUCGGGUUGUAAAGCCCUUUUGUUGGGAAAGAAAAGCAGCAGAUGAAAACCCCGCUGUUUUGACGGUACCCAAAGAAAAAGCACCGGCUAACUUCGUG
rnacentral:rRNA from 1 species